GAUGAACGCUGGCGGCGUGCCUAAUACAUGCAAGUAGAACGCUGAAGGAGGAGCUUGCUCUUCUGGAUGAGUUGCGAACGGGUGAGUAACGCGUAGGUAACCUGCCUGUUAGCGGGGGAUAACUAUUGGAAACGAUAGCUAAUACCGCAUGACAACAGUUAUUGCAUGAUAACUGUUUAAAAGGGGCAACUGCUCCACUACCAGAUGGACCUGCGUUGUAUUAGCUAGUUGGUGUGGUAACGGCUCACCAAGGCGACGAUACAUAGCCGACCUGAGAGGGUGAUCAGCCAAAAUGGGACUGAGACACGGCCCAGACUCAUAAGGGAAGGAGCAAGAGGGAAACUUCAGCAAUGGACGGAAGUCAGACCGAGCAACGCCGCGUGAGUGAAGAAGGUUUUCGGAUCGUAAAGCUCUGUUGUAAGAGAAGAACGAGUGUGAGAGUGGAAAGUUCACACUGUGACGGUAUCUUACCAGAAAGGGACGGCUAACUACGUG
rnacentral:rRNA from 1 species